rnacentral:rRNA from 1 species
AUGGAAGCUUGCUUCUAUCAAUCUUAGUGGCGAACGGGUGAGUAACGCGUAAUCAACCUGCCCUUCAGAGGGGGACAACAGUUGGAAACGACUGCUAAUACCGCAUACGAUCCAAUCUCGGCAUCGAGACUGGAUGAAAGGUGGCCUCUAUUUAUAAGCUAUCACUGAAGGAGGGGAUUGCGUCUGAUUAGCUAGUUGGAGGGGUAACGGCCCACCAAGGCGAUGAUCAGUAGCCGGUCUGAGAGGAUGAACGGCCACAUUGGGACUGAGACACGGCCCAGACUCCUACGGGAGGCAGCAGUGGGGAAUCUUCCGCAAUGGACGAAAGUCUGACGGAGCAACGCCGCGUGAGUGAUGACGGCCUUCGGGUUGUAAAGCUCUGUUAAUCGGGACGAAUGGUUCUUGUGCGAAUAGUGCGAGGAUUUGACGGUACCGGAAUAGAAAGCCACGGCUAACUACGUGCCAGCAGCCGCGGUAAUACGUAGGUGGCAAGCGUUGUCCGGAAUUAUUGGGCGUAAAGCGCGCGCAGGCGGAUUGGUCAGUCUGUCUUAAAAGUUCGGGGCUUAACCCCGUGAUGGGAUGGAAACUGCCAAUCUAGAGUAUCGGAGAGGAUAGUGGAAUUCCUAGUGUAGCGGUGAAAUGCGUAGAUAUUAGGAAGAACACCAGUGGCGAAGGCGACUUUCUGGACGAAAACUGACGCUGAGGCGCGAAAG